GUAGUUGUGGCCGAGCGGUUAAGGCGAUGGACUAGAAAUCCAUUGGGGUUUCCCUGCACAGGUUCAAAUCCUGUCAACUAUG
rnacentral:tRNA from 1 species